rnacentral:misc_RNA from 1 species
AAGUCGUAACAAGGUUUCCGUAGGUGAACCUGCGGAAGGAUCAUUAACAAAUCGUAUUUGUAUUUGAUAGUAUAUAUCAGUACAAAACAUAUGUGCGCCAGCAUGCGUGCUGGAAUGCAAUAUUCAUGUGUAAGUGUAUGUGUGUGUGUAGUGUAACUAAAAAUAUCUAAACAUACUUUUAACAAUGGAUCUCUUGGCUCUU